CCUCUCGUAGAUCAGCGGUUGAUCAUCCACUCCUGGUAGAAGAGAUUCUGUUCGUUCGGUGGGCGACGUGGGUUCGAAUCCCACCGAGGGCG